rnacentral:rRNA from 1 species
UACGAAGGGGGCUAGCGUUGCUCGGAAUCACUGGGCGUAAAGGGUGCGUAGGCGGGUCUUUAAGUCAGGGGUGAAAUCCUGGAGCUCAACUCCAGAACUGCCUUUGAUACUGAGGAUCUUGAGUUCGGGAGAGGUGAGUGGAACUGCGAGUGUAGAGGUGAAAUUCGUAGAUAUUCGCAAGAACACCAGUGGCGAAAGCGG